rnacentral:lncRNA from 1 species
CCUAGACUGCUUGCAGGAUAUGAUGUCACCUAGACUGCUUGCAGGAUAUGAUGUCAUCUAGACUGCUUGCAGGAUAUGAUGAGCCACCUAGACUGCUUGUAGGAUAUGAUGACUGAUCUAGCCUGUUUGAUAACCUAUUAUUAGUCAUAUUUUGCAGAUUAUGAGCAGUCUGGCAUUUUGUGGUGUGAAGGCAGGUGUUUACUGUUUGUCCCAUUUUGAGUAGAAGGCAAAGGCUAUGUCAAAUACUUGAUCAUCUGAGGAUGUCACACAUUUGAAGAGACACGAUCAACAUGGCAGAUUUAGUGCCACCAUUUGGUGAAAUGGCAAACUGUACGACUCUGAUUUUUCAUAGAGCAAACUGACAUCAGCAUAAAAGCAACAACAUUACAACAGUAGAAUUUAAAAAUGUGCACAGUUGCAGCAGAAUUUAGCUAAUUUAUUCUGCUCUACCAGGCUGAGACAUUUUGUGUUAUUCUCAGUUUUAGCAAGGAUAUAGCCAAGGAAUUUGAUCAGGGAGAUGAAAGAACAACCAAGCAAGUGCAGUCCCCAUGUUAGACUGAUAGUCUUCUAGAUGUUCCUAAAAAAGACAGUACAGCCGUACUUUAGACGUUUUUACUUGCUAGCAAAGAAAAACUGGCUGGAUGGGUUCCUCAUAGAAAAUUCUACAGCCCAAUCAAGGUUUCGAUCCCACAUGUGGAAGUGGCAGUUGAUUUGAAAUCAGCAACCCUAAUGACUCGCCUAGACAAAUAAAACUGAAGACUGCAUGAUUCAGUACCAGUAAGUUAUGGUUCUUCUAGCAUUUGAAGAUGUAUAGAUUUCACAAGCUAAAUUUGUAACCUCAACCAGAAAGAUUGAAAAAAGCAUUUUGCACUGUUCACUUGUUUGUGAAAAGGGUAAAACACUUUAAAAAAAAAAAAAAAAAGGUAAUAGGAAAAAAAAGUAUUACUGUAGCAAAGAUAAGAUCAUACUGAUCAGCAAUAAUAUUAUUGGCAAUUUUCUUGUGUUAAUUGAGCCGUGCCAUGAGAAAACCAACAUAGUGGGUGUGCGACCAGCAU